rnacentral:rRNA from 1 species
UUCUUUAAGAAUAUCUUAUUUAAAGUAAAACCUGCUCCAUGAUGAAUAACAAUCAUUAAAUAGCCGCAGUAUAUCUGUGCUAAGGUAGCAUAAUAAUUAGCUUCUCAAUUAGAAGAUAGAAUGAAAGGUUUAACGAAAUAUUAACUGUAUCUAAUGUUAAAAAUGAAAUUAAAUAUUAAGGUAAAAAUUCCUUUAAACAAUACUUUAUUUAGAAGGACGACAAGACCCUGAUAAACUUAUAUAUUUUGCUGGGGCGGCAAUAUUAAACACACCUUAAAUUUAUAAAUGCAAAAACUACUAAUCAAUUUAUUUAUUAAAGUUACUACAGGGAUAACAGCGCAAUUUUUUUUUAAAGAUCUAAUACAAAAAAAAUAAUACGACCUCGAUGUUGAAUUAAUUUUUCUAUUUUAGUGCACAAACUAAAUAAGAAGGUCUGUUCGACCUAUAAAUAAUU